GACGAACGCUGGCGGCGUGCUUAACACAUGCAAGUCGAACGGAAAGGCCCUGCUUGCAGGGUACUCGAGUGGCGAACGGGUGAGUAACACGUGGGUGAUCUGCCCUGCACUUCGGGAUAAGCCUGGGAAACUGGGUCUAAUACCGGAUAGGAGCCAUUUUUAGUGUGAUGGUUGGAAAGUUUUUUCGGUGUAGGAUGAGCUCGCGGCCUAUCAGCUUGUUGGUGGGGUAAUGGCCUACCAAGGCGGCGACGGGUAGCCGGCCUGAGAGGGUGGACGGCCACAAUGGGACUGAGAUACGGCCCAGACUCCUACGGGAGGCAGCAGUGGGGAAUAUUGCACAAUGGGCGCAAGCCUGAUGCAGCGACGCCGCGUGGGGGAUGACGGCCUUCGGGUUGGAAACUCCUUUCGCUAGGGACGAAGCUUUUUGUGACGGUACCUAGAUAAGAAGCACCGGCUAACUACGUG
rnacentral:rRNA from 1 species